GAUUGGCAAAUGAGGAUUUAUUGUUUGCAAUGGGUAAUUUGCGUCUGAGCAUGUAUUUGUGAUGUUACAUACAUAUCACCUUGGAGAUCUGAUGCCGAAA